rnacentral:lncRNA from 1 species
ACAAAACCAAAACAUUUGAGAUAUCAUAUAUGCAGAUGAGACUAGUGGUUUGCAAAGAAUAUAUGCACCGACAAGGACACGUCAUGUCUGCAUUGGCAUGUUACAUUGCUCCGCUGCUCUACCACAUGAAUAAUGUCCGGCGGGAACUAUCACUACUCGAAAAAUAACCUCUCGUCCCGAGGUUUAGUACCGAUCACUUUUUGACCUGGUACUAAUGUUAGCAUUAGUACCGGAUCCAAAUUUGGGAUCCCUCGGAGGUCCUUUAGUACUGGGUGGGAACCCCACCCGGUACUAAAUCACCCGUUCGGAGCCCCC